GACGAACGCUGGCGGCGUGCCUAACACAUGCAAGUCGAACGGAACUGCUCUACUUUUGUGGGGUGCUACACUGGCGAAAGGGUGUGUAUCACGUACGUAACCUGCCCAUGACUUUGAGCUACCUUCAGGAAACUGGGGCUACUACCGGAUAGGAGCUCAUGCUGCAUGAUGAUGGUUGGCACGUUUCGGCGGUUGUAGAUGGACUUGCGGCUCAUCAGCUUGUUGGUCGGGUAGUGGCUUACCAAGGCGUUGACGGGUAGCCGGCCUUAGAGGUUGACCAGCCACCUUGGGCCUGAGAGACGGCCCAGUCGCGAACCGUAGGCAGUAGUGGGGAGUAUUGUAGAAUGGGGGGAAGUCUGAUGCGGCAACGCUCCGUGCGGGAAGACGGCUUUCGGGUUGUAAACCGCUGUCGCCUGUGACGAAGAGGGAGUGACGGUAAUUGGUAAAGAAGCACCGGCUAACUACGUG
rnacentral:rRNA from 1 species